rnacentral:misc_RNA from 1 species
GAUGAAGAACGCAGCGAAAUGCGAUAAGUAAUGUGAAUUGCAGAAUUCAGUGAAUCAUCGAAUCUUUGAACGCAACUUGCGCCUUUUGGUAUUCCGAAAGGCAUGCCUGUUUGAGUGUCAUAUAAACCUCACCUCUACUGUUUUUCAUUAGACAUGUGGACUGGCGCUUUGGGCGUCUGCCGUUUACUCUGGCUCGCCUUAAAUGUCUAAGUGGAAUGCGUAAUAAGUCUUCGCAACCCUCCACUCUAAUACAAACUUUUAUAUUCUGACCUCAAAUCAGGUAGGACUACCCGCUGAACUUAAGCAUAUCAAUAAGCGGAGGA